UGAGAAAAUCUUCAUUUAAUACAACAAUAUUUAGUCAUCUGAAAAUAAACUUUAUACAUAUGCAUGGUUGUGGAAAUGAUUUAGUUUAUAAUUUAUAUUUCAUCAAUUUUGUAUAUUUUGUAUAUUUAUAUUAAUAAAUAUAUUUAUACAUAUGUACCUCGGACAGAGAAUAAAAGGGCGGAUAGCUUAGCACGCAGUGCUAGGAAACAACCGUCUUUCGUCGUUCACAUGGAUGCGGAGUUGUCGGUUUGAUUUACAGAGUCAAGUUGAGUCUGUGAAUGUAUUGUUGUAAAAAAAAAACUACUUUAUAUAAUUGGUAUAGGUGUUAUGAACCAGAUUGUGGAUGUCUCAUAACCAAGAGAUUAUGAUUUGUAAUCUUUUCAUUUAUCUAUGACGGUGUAAUCUCCUAUAUAAGGAACCUCUAUGUUAUGAAUAAAUAUACACUUUUCCGUUACUUUUAUAACGCGUUAUCAACACGAAACUCUAAAUCCCUAAGCUAA
rnacentral:lncRNA from 1 species